rnacentral:rRNA from 1 species
AAUUAGUGGCAGACGGGUGAGUAAUGCAUAGGAAUCUACCUAGUAGUAUAGGAUAGCCACUAGAAGUGGUGGGUAAUACUGUAUAAUCCCUGCGGGGGAAAGAUUUAUCGCUACAUGAUGAGCCUAUGUUAGAUUAGCUAGUUGGUGGGGUAAUGGCCUACCAAGGCAGUGAUCUAUAGCUGGUCUGAGAGGAUGAUCAGCCACACUGGAACUGAGACACGGUCCAGACUCCUACGGGAGGCAGCAGUGGGGAAUAUUGGACAAUGGGCGCAAGCCUGAUCCAGCUAUGCCGCGUGAGUGAGGAAGGCCUUAGGGUUGUAAAACUCUUUCAGUGGGGAAGAUAAUGACGGUACCCACAGAAGAAGUCCCGGCAAACUCCGUGCCAGCAGCCGCGGUAAUACGGAGGGGGCAAGCGUUGUUCGGAAUUAUUGGGCGUAAAGGGCAUGUAGGUGGUUUGGUAAGUUAAAGGUGAAAUGCCAGGGCUUAACCCUGGAGCUGCUUUUAAUACUGCCAGACUGGAGUCCGGGAGA